rnacentral:misc_RNA from 1 species
AGCAGCCGCGGUAAUUCCAGCUCCAAUAGCGUAUAUUAAAGUUGUUGCAGUUAAAAGCUCGUAGUUGAAUUUCGGGACCAAUUUGUUGGUCGUGCCUCGGUACGUACUGGUAUUAUUGGUUUCUCCCUUCUAAAUAACCUCGAUGCCAUUAAUUUGGUGUCGUGGGGAAUCAGGACUGUUACUUUGAAAAAUUAGAGUGUUUAAAGCAAGCAUACGCUUGAAUACAUUAGCAUGGAAUAAUGAAAUAGGACGUUUGAUUCUAUUUUGUUGGUUUCUAGGAUCGACGUAAUGAUUAAUAGGGAUAGUUGGGG